GAUGAAGAACGUAGCGAAAUGCGAUAAGUAAUGUGAAUUGCAGAAUUCAGUGAAUCAUCGAAUCUUUGAACGCACAUUGCGCCCCGUGGUAUUCCGAGGGGCAUGCCUGUUCGAGCGUCAUAUUAACCACUCCCGCUUGCGGGGUCUUGGGCUUCGCCUCCGGGCGGGCCUUAAAAUCAGUGGCGGUGCCGUCGGGCUCUACGCGUAGUAAAUUUUCUCGCGAUAGGGUCCCGGUGGAUGCUUGCCAACAACCCCCAACUUCUUAAGGUUGACCUCGGAUCAGGUAGGGAUACCCGCUGAACUUAAGCAUAUCAAUAAGCGGAGGA
rnacentral:misc_RNA from 1 species